rnacentral:lncRNA from 1 species
AAGAAUCAAUGGACCAUCAGACCCAAACAAUUUGAAAAUAACCAAACAUCAAAAUCACCCAAGUAAGAACAGGAAAUGUUAUGGUCAUAUAACGUAGAAAUCUGAAAAUUGAAUGAUAAGAAUGAUUAUUACAUAAGAAUAUAUAAUCUGGAACUGACAAAAUCAUAUCCAGCAGUACACUCCACUAAACCCACUGAUCAACAUAUUACACAAUCAGAAACAAAAUAAAUUAUCUUGCCAUCAGAUCUCUAGCUUAAGCAAUUGGCGAUCCUAUCCAAAUUAUCCAGGUGUACAUAAGCUCUAGUAAAAUCAGAUCCGACGUUCUAGUUGCACAGUUAGCUUAGCCCCAUAAAAUAAAGAUGAAACAAGCACAACCUUCGUAAAGCCACAAAACAGAAAGUACCAAAUAGUAGGACGGGCACCAAAACGUUUGUUGCAAAUUUCUGCAAACAAGUAGGAAAAGCAGUAAAGGGAUUUAACAUAUACAUUAAAAAAAUUGUGAUAUAAAGUUAGAAAAAUGAGGAGGAUGAGGAAGAAAGAGAAAGCGAGAUUGAACAAUAUCUGGAACUGACGGGUGUCUCAGAAAUAUCGUAUCGGUAUUGCACAUAUAUACAUAUCAUAAGGAGAAUCAAAUCUCAAUCAGAAGAUUCCGAGACAAAUAGGUUGAACAUCCGGUCGUAUAUGGUUGUAUAUGCAUAUCAAAAGGAAGAAACUUUAACAGACACUCUUGCUUAGAAUCAUCAGCCAAAACAUCUUAUACCGACCUUGUCAGAGGAACAGAACAACACAAUUAUGACGAGGAGAGAACAUACUCGUAUUCAAAGCGCUUUCUUCUACAAAGAAUCAUAUUCAAGGUUGAGCGAAAAUCAAAUCAGCCGAUUACCAAACCCUAGCAAGAUAAAACACAAUCCAAACGCAAAAACCACUUGUUGAUGAAUAACCGAACAUCAUACCUAAUACCACGCCGGAUCAAAAUCACCAAAAGAAAACCAAUUCAGAAUCACAAUCAAACGACCGGCGAAGAAUCCACGACGCUCCGAUUGUCAGACCGGCAAAAUAACCCAGAUAAAUCAAAUCAGGACCCUACAAUCAGACGGUAUCGCGAAAGAGAAAAAAAAAACAUGGGACGGAUAAUCGCCGCUGAUUGAAUUGAAUUGCGCAGGUUUCAUAGCGACGAAAAUACAUAUACAAUCUGAAAAACGGAAACGACAAAUAAACAUCCGCAGAGAACCAAAGGCAAUCAAAC